AAAUAAAUAUUUUUAUAAAGUUGUUAUAAAUUAUGGCCUCAAAAUUGUAAUACGUAAAAUUAUAUAUAUAUAUAUAUAUAUAGAGAGAGAGAGAGAGAUAAGUAGCUCGCUACUCGCUUCAAAUAAACUUAGCUGCAAAUAUGAAUCAACUAGGAUUCGAACUUGAGACCUCGGGUACCAACCACCAAACUUUUUGCCAAUUGCUCUAGGGACGAUCAAUUAAAAUAAAAAUAGUUAGUCUUUGUUUUGUAUCAUUUCUCUUUUUUUACGUUUAAUCUCAUACAACUCUCUAUAAACAUAUCAAAUAGCAAAUAUAUCCUUACAACGUUCAACUUUUAUUUUUAUCCAUAUAAAAGUCCAGUGAUAUUCAUAUUUACCCUCUUAAUUUGUUACCCUUAUAGCACUAUUUAUUUUUUAACAGCAGAUAAGUAAAAUGAUAUUUUUGCCCUCACAAAUAUAUCUUCCAAAAGCCCAAAUUAUUAAAAUUAUAUAGAAAUAUUCUCACAAGAAAGUAUCUUGCCCAAUAAUAUAAGAGGAGAAGAAAGGUUAAUUUAACUUAUUCACUAAUCAGGAUUAAGUAUUUUACUUUUGGUUAACUAUAUAUUUCUAACAGAUCCUAACAGUAGAGCUAUUAUUUAAAAGCGUUAAGACUUUUGCAGAGAUAAAAAUAAAAAGUUGAACUUUGUAGGGAUAUAUCUGUUAUUCGAUAUAUUUACAUGGAGUUGUAUACAAUCAACCUUUUUUUAAUAUAAUUUUUUAUAUGAUUAGAUGUUGUUAUUAUGAUUGUUUAACUUGUAAUGUAUGUAAAUUAUGUAUGAAAUGACAACUUUUUAGAGGGUAGAAG
rnacentral:lncRNA from 1 species